UACAGAGGCCCCAAGCGUUACUGAGAAUCACUGGGUUUAAAGGGUGCGUAGGUGGCGCGUUUAAGUCCGUUGUGAAAUCCCUUGGCUCAACCAAGGAAUGGCUUCGGAUACUGGCGUGCUUGAGGUUGGUAUGGGUCACUGGAACUGACGGUGGAGCGGUGAAAUGCGUAGAUAUCGUCAGGAACGCCAAUGGUGAAGACAGGUGACUGGGCCAAUUCGUGACACUGAGGCACGAAAGCGUGGGGAGCGAACGGG
rnacentral:rRNA from 1 species